GACGAACGCUGGCGGCGUGCUUAACACAUGCAAGUCGAACGGAAAGGCCCUGCUUUUGUGGGGUGCUCGAGUGGCGAACGGGUGAGUAACACGUGAGUAACCUGCCCUUGACUUUGGGAUAACUUCAGGAAACUGGGGCUAAUACCGGAUAGGAGCUCUUGCUGCAUGGUGGGGGUUGGAAAGGUUCGGCGGUUGGGGAUGGACUCGCGGCUUAUCAGCUUGUUGGUGGGGUAGUGGCUUACCAAGGCUUUGACGGGUAGCCGGCCUGAGAGGGUGACCGGCCACAUUGGGACUGAGAUACGGCCCAGACUCCUACGGGAGGCAGCAGUGGGGAAUAUUGCACAAUGGGCGGAAGCCUGAUGCAGCAACGCCGCGUGCGGGAUGACGGCCUUCGGGUUGUAAACCGCUUUCGCCUGUGACGAAGCGUGAGUGACGGUAAUGGGUAAAGAAGCACCGGCUAACUACGUG
rnacentral:rRNA from 1 species